rnacentral:ncRNA from 1 species
UGAAUAUUGGGGUAAACUUAUCGAAAGGUAAGGACACAAAGCCAUGGGUCUAAGGAUGCAACUGCAUCUAUGAUUGCCAGGUUGCCUGU